rnacentral:tRNA from 1 species
CCUGGUGGCUCAGAGGUUAAAGCGUCUGCCUGUAAUGCGGGAGACCUGGGUUCAAUCCCUGGGUCAGGA